rnacentral:tRNA from 1 species
GGGCGGUUAACUCAGUGGCUAGAGUGUCGGUUUUACACGCCGGAAGUCAAGGGUUCGACCCCCUUACCGCCCACCA